AUCGCUUCUCGGCCUUUUGGCUAAGAUCAAGUGUAGAACAUUUUGCUUUACUGAAUAACCUAACAUCCUCUUAUGUUCAUAUGCUUGGGCCAAUAGUCACAUAACUGGAAAUCUAGCUUAUGUAUUUUUCAAAUGUAUUUUCAAAGAAUAUUGAAUGCUGGAGAAACUUCU
rnacentral:snRNA from 1 species